rnacentral:rRNA from 1 species
CCUACGGGGGGCUGCAGUGGGGAAUAUUGGACAAUGGGGGGAACCCUGAUCCAGCCAUGCCGCGUGUGUGAAGAAGGCCCUCGGGUUGUAAAGCACUUUCAGUGAGGAAGAACGCCUGGUGGUUAAUACCCAUCAGGAAAGACAUCACUCACAGAAGAAGCACCGGCUAACUCCGUGCCAGCAGCCGCGGUAAUACGGAGGGUGCGAGCGUUAAUCGGAAUUACUGGGCGUAAAGCGCGCGUAGGUGGCUUGAUAAGCCGGUUGUGAAAGCCCCGGGCUCAACCUGGGAACGGCAUCCGGAACUGUCAAGCUAGAGUGCAGGAGAGGAAGGUAGAAUUCCCGGUGUAGCGGUGAAAUGCGUAGAGAUCGGGAGGAAUACCAGUGGCGAAGGCGGCCUUCUGGACUGACACUGACACUGAGGUGCGAAAGCGUGGGGAGCAAACAGGAUUAGAUACCCUAGUAGUC